rnacentral:rRNA from 1 species
AACGCGAAGAACCUUACCUGGUCUUGACAUCCACAGAACUUUCCAGAGAUGGAUUGGUGCCUUCGGGAACUGUGAGACAGGUGCUGCAUGGCUGUCGUCAGCUCGUGUUGUGAAAUGUUGGGUUAAGUCCCGCAACGAGCGCAACCCUUAUCCUUUGUUGCCAGCGGUUAGGCCGGGAACUCAAAGGAGACUGCCAGUGAUAAACUGGAGGAAGGUGGGGAUGACGUCAAGUCAUCAUGGCCCUUACGACCAGGGCUACACACGUGCUACAAUGGCAUAUACAAAGAGAAGCGACCUCGCGAGAGCAAGCGGACCUCAUAAAGUAUGUCGUAGUCCGGAUUGGAGUCUGCAACUCGACUCCAUGAAGUCGGAAUCGCUAGUAAUCGUAGAUCAGAAUGCUACGGUGAAUACGUUCCCGGGCCUUGUACACACCG